rnacentral:rRNA from 1 species
CCUACGGGGGGCUGCAGUAAGGAAUAUUGGUCAAUGGAGGAAACUCUGAACCAGCCAUCCCGCGUGAAGGAUGAAGGGGCUCUGCCUUGUAAACUUCUUUUGUCUGGGGCGAAAAAGCUCGAUUUAUCGAGAACUGACGGUACCAGAACAAUAAGCACCGGCUAACUCCGUGCCAGCAGCCGCGGUAAUACGGAGGGUGCAGGCGUUAUCCGGAAUCAAGGGGUUGUAGGCGUAUGUGGAAGUCUGAGGAGAAAGGCUGUGGCUUAACCAUGGAACUGCCAUUGAUACUGCAGAGCUUGAAUGAGGUUGAGGUUGGCGGAAUGUGACAUGUAGCGGUGAAAUGCUUAGAUAUGUCAUGGAACACCGAUUGCGAAGGCAGCUGACUGGACCUAUAUUGACGCUGAGGCACGAAAGCGUGGGGAGCGAACAGGAUUAGAUACCCCUGUAGUC